rnacentral:lncRNA from 1 species
AUACUACUAGAUAGGUCAGUUGGAAAGACAUCUUCAUAUUCUUAUAUGAGUUGUUCUGCUUAUUCUACUCUUUUGGUUGACUUGUCCACCAUUGAUGCAAGAUUUGGAGACAAAGCUAUGUCAUUUGUCUUUGAAAGACAAUAGCUAUUCCUAUUAUUGGUCCUCGACUCCUUUACUAGAGAGCCAUAUUUUUUUGUUUUGUCUCAAUAUCGACUUGGUGAGUUUCAAGACUAUGAACUUAUCUUAUCUUGUUGGUACUUAAAUUUUGAUAUUUUGAACAACUUCAAUUUGAUAGCCUGGUUUUUUAUUAUAGAAAUAGAAUUCUUUUUAUACCAAUAUUUUUUGUCUUUAUGGUGUCGAUGUUUCUUGUAAGGUAUCAAUCACUAUUGGCAUU